rnacentral:lncRNA from 1 species
GCAAGAGGCAGCCAUCAUGCCCCAAAGAGUAAUGGCACCCUUCGCGUUCCAUCACUCUCCAGUCAUCCGCUUUGUAGGGGGGGAAAAAAAAGAAGAAUAAAAAAAGCAGUUUUGUGAUGAAUAGAAGAGAUAGUGGAGUACAGUCACAGUGACUGCCACUUAUUCGAAACAUUUUACACACUGCUGAGCUCGGUGACUGCCAAGUCCUUGCAAGUCCUGUCCUGUGCAUAUGGCAGCCUACUCUGAUCUAAUUGCAUUGCCCACUCACUCAGAUGUCAUUUUCUACAUCAACUGUGUGGGAUUAUCUAAGACCACAGCAAAUAGCCUAUCAUCAGUAUUAAGAGAUUUAAAACAUAUAAAAAAAAAACAAAAAAAAAAAAACAUUUUAAGUUCACUGGAAGUGAAGCAGUGGAGUUGGGAUUGGACCUUUUUUAGUUCUUUUUGUCUUCUCCAAAACAUUUCUGGACAUUUCUCCUUCAAAGGAUUGAUUUUUGGCACUCUGUCUGUGGACUCCCCCGCCGAUUCCAUCGGGACUUAUCUGAGGACUCACUUCACAAAUCAGUGGGAGAAGGGGAUGUCCAUGUGUCCUUCAUCACUUACUUUUGAGGAUAAAAUUAAGUUGCCUUUCCGUCCCUCUUGGCCAAGAAUACGUUCCUGCAGGCAGAUGCGCCGCACCACCUGGAUGAUGGUGAACCAACAGUGGGAAUCUCUUGGCAGGACUGUGCUGUGUUUUGUCCAUCCUGGACAUCCAUGAAACCUUGACGGGAUGAGACACGCCACAUGACUGUAUUUUUGCCAUCCUCAUCCUCCUGUUAUCUUGCUCUUAUCUGUGCUGCACAGGCCAGCUUCCGUUCACCCAGCAAAGACUGAAACUGAAUAUGUCUGGAACAAUAAUACGCCGAUAAGAAGCCACGCCCUGGAGUGUUUACCUUUUCUUUUCUUUUUAUUUUGACUGUCGCAUUUUAAUUUGUUUUUUCCUUUUGUAUCUGUACAUAACUUAAUUCCAAAUCUUAUAGUUUUGUACAUGUAAUUUUUAUGGUGUG